GAGCAUGAGGUGGCUUGGGCCGGGGUGAUCAUGCUGCUGCUGCUACUGCUUUAAUAAAGCAUUAAUAAAGCACCAUCUAGUCCAUUUCCAAAUUUCAAUUCAAUCAUCUUCUUCUUCUUCUUCUUCUUAUCAUACUGCUUGUCCACUAUCAUCUUCAUCAUCAGGUGGUUUAGAACAUCACAUGUCUUGAAUUUAUUCGCUACUCAAGUGAUAUACAGUCAGUCUCACACUUGAGGCAUCUUUACACAUAUUGUUCUUGUAAAAUGUCUACCGACGACUCCAGAAAGGUGUCGGGCCAGGAUAUACAGGUGGUGCAAAAUCUUAUUGAACAAUGUCUGAUCCGCUACAUGACUCGUAAAGAAGUUAUGAAUUUCCUCUCUGUAAAGAAGAAAAUAGAACCUGCUGUUACCGAACUUGUCUGGCAGAAACUAGAACAAGAAAAUCAGGAAUUUUUCAAUGCAUACAAUCUGAGAUUAACGUUGAAAGAGCAAAUAGCGGAAUUCAAUCAGUUGCUUGAAAGACAAGUUAAGAUGAUGCAUCAUGCAGACACAGCAGGAGUGUCCUACAGACCUGUUAGCGCAUCUCAUGUCUCACCAAUGCAUCAUAACUCGUCAAGUUAUGCCUCUGAAAAUGCAGGACAUGCAUUGAUGACAGACAGCAUGCGGCAACCGAUUACCACCAGCAUACCAAAUGAAUUCACUAAUCGUGGUUUGUCGGUGCCAUGCAUGCAAAUACCUGUUGACAUGUCUGGUCAGUCAAGAAAAAAUGAAACCUCGAAUGUCAUGCUAGCUCAGAAUCCAAAUGUCAGUAUGGCACAAGGAUUGAAUGGUGGAAUGCUGAAAAGAGAAGCUGGCUAUCCUGGCAUGCCUCAAUUCAUCUAUGGUGGUGAAAACAAUAUCAUGGAACCACAUCCUCUCAGUAGGGAUGCACCUAAUUUAUUAUACAGUCGUGACGAUUCAAACGCACUACCUCCCCUAAAUGAAACAAUGAUGGAUGCAGCAGACUCCACUAGUUUUGGAUUAUUGGGGAAUUAUGGUAUAUCAGACUUAACAACUGAGUUUUCCCAUGGUUCUGAUAUCAUGGACAACUACAGGUCUCCCUUCCUGGAGACAGCUCCAGACAGUUUCCUUGAUUUGCAUAGUAGGGGGGGAGAUAACCAAGGACCAAAUACGAGGUUGGAUGGGUAUGGAGAUUUUCACAGCGACUGAUUGGAUGAUUCCGCUGGUACUAAUCUUGCACACACAAUAAUGGUACAGUUCAAAACUGACUAGUUGUUUCUGAUUAGUGCUAUUGUCAGGAAAUCUAUGUGAUAAGAUGGUGAAAUUAGUUGUCACUUGUACUCUUACCGCACCCAAAGAAAUAAAAAGGAGGUUCAGCUGCAUCCCUCUGUUGGCAAAGGAACUUUUGUAGAUAACUCAAACAUGCAGAGAUUUCAGCAUUCGAGCUGCUGUUAAAAUUGAUGUGCAGAGCUAAUAACAUAGUUGUGUUGAAUGAUGCUAGAAAGUUACUGUUGGCUUUGAGGAAGGAAUAACGAUGGAAAUUGGAACAAGUAAAUGAAUCACCUGUUUGAUAAUUAGGUAUUUCAGAAGUUUUAAUAGAACUGGACUUGAAAUUCCUACAUUAGUAAAAUGCCGUUGCUAUGAAGUUUUCUACUUUGUAUGUUUAAACUAAAGAUGUAAUGAUAAAGUGAAUAUAGAGACUCUCUUCAGCUAUCGUUGUGUAUGUUCCGGUAAUCAAGCAAACCCUUUUCAGCCUUUGAUAA